AGAAUAUACAUACUUUUUAAUAUGAUUUUUUUUUAUUGUCAUGCCCUGAUUUUUUUUAUAGGCCUUUGCAAAGUCUGGUUGGCUUCUGAGCUCUUGAAACCUGGCAUCAUCAUCUUUCUUCCUCCUUUUUUCCCCUUUGUAAGUUUACAACAUCCUAAAACCACCACAAAAGAGGUAAGCUAUAUUUUAUACAACUAGUGAAUGAUGAGAUUGACAUCACCCUCUGUGUUCCUAUCCAAGAGACUUUCAGGCAGGGACCAGUAUGAAAUGAUGUCGUUUUGAAGACUUGACAGGGGAGGGAGGCAGAGAAGACUCUCCUCCAUGCUUCUUGUUUGGAAACAAGCUGCUCCUUGUUUUGACUCUGAUGCAAUGGCCCUGAGACUGUAUUACAGCAAACAGGCCAAGAACGAAGCUCCUCAUUCUGCCCCUACUGAUGACAUAUAAAAUGAAACUAGUCCCAGUGGUUUAGACAGUCGAAGCUCCAUUUGACAAAUAUUAACUAAGGCUGCAGCAUUCUGAACAGAAAGUUAUACAGGAAUGCAAUAGAUUUGUCUGAAAAGCAAAAAAUAUGCAAGUUUCCAGUUCAACACAAAUCAGGGCAAAGACUCAUAGAGAAAAGCAGUGAAGUAAUUUUGAUAUGCAGAGGUCAUCUAAGUAAAGCACUAGGAUUUGGAGCCUGAAACAACAGAGAACAUGCACAAUGCAUGCGAAUCCUCAAUGCCUCUGC